UUAAGAUGACAAAGUCCAUGAAAGUGCCAC
rnacentral:piRNA from 1 species